rnacentral:rRNA from 1 species
UCAGGCCUACACAUCCAAGUCGAACGGCAGCACGGACAUCGGUCUGGUAAAAAGAGGCGAACGGGUGAGUAGUGCAUCGGAACGUGCCCAAUCGUGGGGGAUAACGUAGCGAAAGUUACGCUAAUACCGCAUACGAUCUAAGGAUGAAAGCGGGGGAGCGCGAGACCUCGCGCGAAUGGAGCGGCCGAUGUUAGAUUAGGUAGUUGGUGGGGUAAAGGCUCACCAAGCCGACGAUCUAUAGCUGGUCUGAGAGGCUGAUCAGCCACACGUUGAAGGGAGACACGGCCCAGACUCCUACGGGAGGCAGCAGUGGGGAAUUUUG